rnacentral:lncRNA from 1 species
AAUACUUGAUUUAUUUUUAAAAUACGUUUUGACGUAUUUAAGAUUUAAAUAGUAGUACUUGUUGUAAGACAAUUCAAUUAAAGUGUUUUACAACUUUUUGUAAUUCUAACUGGUCACAAGAACACAAGUUUUAUCUUGCCACAAACAAAGUGCUAUGCUAUGUAUUUUGAUAAUUACACUAAUUUAAACUAAAUCUGAUCAGUGAUAAUCCGCAUCAUACUCAAAAUUAAGGUUCUGUUAAAAUCAACCAAGAUUUUGUUGCAUCAUCCUGUCACUGCAACAUUAAUCCUUUCCCUGAGUUCUAAUGUGUUUGGUAGUGGGGGAACGUAAACAAAAUCCUUUAUGUGCCCCCAAAGAAAAAAAUAACAAGGCGUUAAGUCAGGUGGUCGAGACGGCCAAAUAAAUAAAGGUAUUUGCAUACUCCAAUGAAGGAAUGCCAAGCUGGGAUAUAAAACCGCAACAUAUCCAAGUUUCUACACAUAGAAAAGUAGUAGUUCUGGACUCUAAAAGUAUACAAUUGAUUUUAAAUUUGAAGAAUAGCAGUGGAAACGCAAGUUGUGGACUGCUACCAUAGUGGACAAGUGAUUUAAAAAGAAAAUUGGCAAAAACAUUGGGGAAGUACCAGGUACGAGGGCUGGAAGAUCGACAACUGACGUAGAGAGACUGGAUACUGGAGAGGAAAAUCUUGAGCAAAAUAAUGGGAUCAAUCAGGGAACCACAACUAUAUGAAGAGAUUAUAAAGCUUAACAUGUCCAGAGGAUGCCGGAUGAUAGUGUACCACAGAAGUCACUACAACAAGAACAGCUUUAAGAUAGGAGACAGAUUUAGGUACCCAGAUAACGAAGGAAGGAUGAGGUGCGGAACAUGUUAGGAGUUGCAAACUAAAAAUGAGCAUCAAAAGACAGAUGGAUGGAAGAAGAAGAUUGAGGAGACCAAGUCUCGAAUUGGGUUGGGUUGAUAACACAGAAGUUCCGAACAUGUUUAUACUAAACGCCUUUUUACUUUUGAAGCCUAUAUUCUUCGCAGAAGCAACUCAAGAAGACAGUUGACGUUGCCUAUUUAGACUUUAUUCGACAUACAAGAAACUUAGAAGAUCAUGUUGUAGCACCGACAGUAUUGCUCUAAGAGUUUUUGCAACAGAGGACUCAAUUAGCUUAAUUCAAUCGACGAAACAUUUUAUAGACUUGACAAAAAAUGUAUUCAUUUUUCAAGAUUAAGACAAUCCCGUGACAAAGUGCUCAACGCAAUAUUAAUAAACUGCGUUUUGUGCUUAUAUCUAUAUAUCUUUGUAGUUCAUCAAGAAGAUGUAUUUUGUCUACUAACAAUUAUCUUUUUUUUUUUAGAUCGCGUUGUGAUGUUGAAGUAUUGCAAAAAUAAUUUACAAAUAUGAAAAUAAUAUAUACACAAUUAGUUGGAUUUUGAAGUUACUCAACCAUACAGCAACUACAGAUGUUGAGGUCAUGUUAAAUCGGCAAAUUUUUAGUGGCGCUCAAGGUCUAAAAAAUUAUAGUUCAGUAACGAUUUAAGCAGCUUGUAUACUUUGUAGUUACAACCGCUGUAAAGUGGUAAACGCGACU